rnacentral:lncRNA from 1 species
ACAGUCUUUCGCUUUCGCUUGCUGCCAGGGAGAGGAGUGGGUGUGCUUUCAAGCCAUGCGCCUUCAUCAAUUCUUGCAGAUAUUACUGACUUGAAAAUGAAUUCCAGAUGGCAAUGGAUCUACGAGGACAGCAAAGUUCCUCCUCCAUUUCCAAAGGAGAACCUGAAAAGGGGUAUUAAUCUCAAGUGGAUCAGAGGAACCAUCGGAGGAACUAUACUAUUUGCAUCAGAAGCAGUCUACAGACUCCCACUACUUCAAGCGUGUCUGACAGCAGAAGGCCCCAUGGAUUAGAUGCCAGCUGGCUGGAUACUGUAUUUAAGUUAAGCAUAUGUUAAUCAAGCUAUAGGUAGGAGAUACAAUCCAGUCAGUUAGCUGUUGAAACUAAACAUACUGGUUUAUAAGGAUGUAUUGUUAGGGCCAAGAAAAUAAGUAUUUACAACCUCCAAUUUGUAGUUCUAUUGACUCAUGUUGGGAAACACCAUGCUUGGCAGAGCCUGCCAAACCAGGCUGAGACUGUGCAGACUGCACUGCUGAUGUAUUAAAUGUAUAUCUAAUUCAAGAUGUGACUUGUAAUUAAAACUUAAUUGUCAGAAAGCAUAAGCAUUUGAAAUUAUUCCUUUUACAUUACUAAAGUGAUCUUUAGAAAUGUCUGAAACUCAGUCCCUCAUUAUCCCUCUUCCCUUCCCUUUGAGUGUUUUGAGGUGAAACAUGGAUUAGAAAAUACUGAACAGGCUAGAGAGAAUCACAAUAUAUUUUCAAAAUCAGUAAUAUUCUUUUUUAAAUUUAAGUACUAAACUUUAUUUUCCUCCAGGUAAUUCCAAUUUUUUUUUUUUUUUUUUUUUUUUGUGAAGGAAAAAAUAAAAUAAUUACUUGCAUAAACAAAACUGUUCUUUGAUUUUCCAUCUUCCAGACACUUUAAGAAUACUAAUGCAUGAAAAUAAUUAGAUAUGAUUUUAUCUAAGAAACAAUUUUCCUUAUGUUGAUCAUGAAAUGCAUUCAAAAUAAAGAAAUCAGCUUCUGUAAGUUCUACAGAAAUUAAUUACUUCUACAAAAGAAUGUUUUCACAAAAGCAGUAAAAUUUCCUGCCCAAAGCACUUCAGAAGUGCAAAUCAAUGUAUAAAUCUAAAGUAUUCUCACUCACAAUUCAAUAAAUUAUUCUAUGUAGUUAUUUUACAGAAUAGUUUCACUUCAGAAUUCAAUAGAGCAGAUGACAAUAAAUGCCGCAACCUUAUUCCAAGAAAACUGAAUAUUUCACAGGGUUAGCAGCUGUGGCUUAUAAGUGUUGCUGUUUGAAAGACCACAGUAGGAUGUAAAGAGAAAAAGAGCUGGUCAUUUCUCUCCUUUUAGUAAUUUUAAUAUGUUGAAAUGUUCUGUAAAAGUAGAACUAAAAUUAAAAAUAAAAUCUUAAAAUGAUUAAGAC